CGACGCGAAGGCGCGUUGCUUGUCUGUACGAAGGCGCGUUGCUUGUUGGCGUGAGAGCGCGAAGGCGCGUUGCUUGUCUGCGCGAAGGUGCGUUGCUUGUUGGCGUGACGGCGUGUUGUGACUAACGCGCAGUCACGCUUUUGCAAAUGGCCCUAUCCGGACUCCGUCUCCGAGUCCUACAACUCUAUACUACGUACGGCCUAAUCUGGAUACCACCUCUGGUGUAUUGUCGCAGAUGAAAUCUUAACAACACACCUGAUCCCACCUCUAGCCUCUGGAAGAAUUAGCAAGUGGUGAAGAUACAGCAAAGUGUCCAAGUUGCUCUCUCUUGAUUAGAGUUAUUUAUGAUAUUGAUGAUUUUCUAGAAGGUGAAGAAGUUGCUGCUCCUUCAAAAAUAAAGUUAGAAAAA